ACGCUCGACACCUACGGGAGCAGCAGUCGGGAAUAUUGCGCAAUGGAGGAAACUCUGACGCAGUGACGCCGCGUGCAGGAAGAAGGUUUUCGGAUUGUAAACUGCUUUAGACAGGGAAGAAAGAAAUGACAGUACCUGCAGAAUAAGCUCCGGCUAACUACGUGCCGGCAGCCGCGGUAAUCUGAGCGGGCUGGCAAGGC
rnacentral:rRNA from 1 species